AAUAAAUAAAUACAAUAUUUUCCUGCUAUCCUCCUAACACUUGAACUUGAGCUAACGCAAUUUAAGCUUCAAGUCUACCCAAUGUAAGUAAGUGAAGCAAUGAACAGUGCCUAAUGGCCCCUUAAAAUGUAGAACACCUAUCUACAUAGCUCCUUCUUUUCCACCCAUUUAAACAAAUGAUAGCUACUGAUGUUUGAUUUUACAUUAAGAAGAACAUGUUGUCAAAAGUACCUAAAUCAUUUUCUCACCUCGCUGCUUCACUUUCCCUUUGUGGAUGCAGACUAAGGAUCUUAAUUUAUGAGUUACCCACUCGAGCUUCUUUGCCAGACACCUGGACCUGUUUGCAGAAUUAAAUUAUUGGCUGUGAAUCUAACAUCAAACCUCCAGAUGGCACCAGAGAACUGAGAAAAACAAUUCCAUUUCCAAGGAGACUUUGUGUUGCUAACAAGAGACAAGCAGGCUGAGAGAAAACGCCCUGUUUGUCACAAAGUUACAUCUGCGAGCUCCUUCAAGGAAGGGAGGUGCCUGACGCUCCUUGUUAAUGCCCGUUGCUGUUAUGCUGUUACAGACUUGCAAUUGUGCAACUCUGUGAUGUAAACAGGCAGGCUUUUGUAUUUUUGCUGUGCCCCUGGAGAGUGGAGAGGGUGGUUCUCUUGGCUGUCUCUGGAACAAAUUUGGAGGAAAAGUCCUGUGAGGGUACAGUGACAAGGUGACCAUCUACAAGCCAGGAAGAAAGGCCUAACAAGAAACCAACUCUGCUAGUGCCUUGAUCGUGAACUCCCAGCCUCUAGAACUGUGAGAAAAUAAACAUCUGUUGUUUAAGCCA